UACAGAGGGUGCGAGCGUUGUCCGGAAUCACUGGGCGUAAAGGGCGCGUAGGUGGUGGCUUAAGCGUGCGGUGAAAGCUCGGGGCUCAACCCCGAGUCGGCCGUGCGAACUGGGCUCACUGGAGCAUAGUAGAGGCAGGUGGAAUUCCGGGUGUAGCGGUGGAAUGCGCAGAUAUCAGGAGGAACACCGGUGGCGAAGGCGGGUCUCUGGGCCGAAACUGACGCUGAGGAGCGAAAGCGUGGGGAGCGAACAGG
rnacentral:rRNA from 1 species